rnacentral:rRNA from 1 species
GUAGGUGGCAAGCGUUGUCCGGAUUUAUUGGGUUUAAAGGGUGUGUAGGCGGCCUAUUAAGUCAGUGGUGAAAUAUCUCAGCUUAACUGAGAAGGUGCCAAUGAUACUGAUGGGCUUGAGUACAGAUGAGGUAGGCGGAAUUGACGGUGUAGCGGUGAAAUGCUUAGAUAUCGUCAAGAACACCUAUAGCGAAGGCAGCUUACUAGGCUGUAACUGACGCUGAGGCACGAAAGUGUGAGGAUCAAACAGGAUUAGAUACCCUGGUAGUCCACACUGUAAACGUUGAUUACUCGCUGUGUGCGAUAUACAGUACGCGGCCAAGCGAAAGCGCUAAGUAAUCCACCUGGGGAGUACGCCGGCAACGGUG